AGGAUGAACGCUGGCGGCGUGCCUAACACAUGCAAGUCGAACGUCCUGUCUCGCAAGAGGCAGGGAGUGGCGGACGGGUGAGUACCACGUGGGUUAUCUACCGUGAGGUGAGGAAUACCGGCGAGAAAUCGCCGACAAGACCGCAUAGCCUCGGUGCAAGCCGAGGAAAGCUUUCUCGAGAGAGGGAGCGCCACACGAGGAGCCUGCGCCCGAUUAGCUAGCUGGUGGAGUAACGGUUCACCAGGGCGACGAUCGGUAGCUGGUCUGAGAGGACGAUCAGCCACACUGGGAUUGAGAACGGCCCAGACUCCUACGGGGGGCAGCAGUGAGGAAUUUUCGUCAAUGGGGGCAACCCUGAACGAGCAACGCCGCGUGCAGGAAGAAGGUUUUCGGAUCGUAAACUGCUUUUCUCGGGGAAGAGAACGGACGGUACCCGAGGAAUCAGCCCGGCUAACUACGUGCCAGCAGCCGCGGUA
rnacentral:rRNA from 1 species